AUUUUUUCACAACACCGAAUGAAUGGCUGUUCACGCAUUUGUUUUAAAAGUUUCGUCUAAAAGUUCUUGAAUACGAUAUGACUGAAACCCGCAGUCACUUUUCUUGGUAAGGAGUUGCAUUUUGGAGAGCCAGACUAUGAUAGCCUUAGCAUUUCUAUAAAGUGAUAACAUAACUUAAAGAAAUUCAAAACUUUUCCUAUAUAACAUUAACCAUAGCCAAUUAAAGAUAAAUUUUUCAUUUUUUUUUAACUGGUUAUGAUGUUGGAUGCCAUUUUUUUAAACGAAACAUUGGAAUAGCAUGGAUCCCUCCCUAUAAGCACACUAACUUCUAAGUGUAUCCUACGUCAUAGACCAUAUAUUACAAUGUGAAGAAAAUAUUGAUUGAACAUUUUUUAACUCAUCUCUACUCUGUAUUCACUAUAUAUUACA